GCUUUUUUCAGUUUACGAUAGUGGAAUUCAAGGAGUAAUAAGUGGGUAUUGGUCAAAAUGGACUUCGAUCUGGCUUUAAAGACAAGCCUAGCAAAGAAAAAUAUUUCGAAGGAAAGGAAAGAUGCGCGUCCAGUAACCCGACAGCACAAAAUUAGGAUCCAAGCGCCUCGCGGCUAGACGAAAACUAUGACGACGUCGAGUGUCACGAUGGCGAUGGCGAUGGCGAUGGCGAUGGCGAUGCCGAUGGCGAUGGUGAUGGCGAUGGUGAUGCCGAUGUCGAUAGCGGCGACGAUGACGACGACAACAUCAACAAAGAUGAUAAGAAUAGCAUACAGUAACAGAACUAUAUCUCAAACAUUAUCGGUUUGAUGGAACAGAGAGCUAACCGAAGGAAAAAGCCACCUAGCGACCUUAGUUUGGUCGGUACACGAAGAGACGUUUCUUCGUCCAUCGAGCUAAAUAUACAACGAGUUGCUAGCGAGUUUACAGAUGCAUCGUGCGUUCUAGUGGCGCACAACGCUAUCUAAUAACGUAACCGCAUCUCUUUUUCAAACAAUCAACUCGAUAAAUCGAUAUAAUUAGAAGAUGUAACGUCUUAAAGUAAAUUAUGUCAUUGUUUUACGAAAAGAAAUAAGCUUGCGAUUACUCUUACAUAUUUUCAAAAUAUAUUGGCAAGCAAAAUAUGUAAAAUAGAAAAACGAACUAUCGUUAAACCAUAAUAUGUGCUUUCGGAAUCGUUAAACUUAUAAUUUGACCGAUGGCAAACAUUGGCUGAUGUAUGGCUAUCUAUUAAUAUUAUAAUUUUAUUACACCUGAUUUUUUUCAAAAUUGCAAUUUGUCCUAGAGACAUUCGAAAAUAAUAUUAUAAUAUAAUUAAAUCUACAGAGUUGUUGGAAUUUUAAAACACAGACAGACGAGCGACAUAAUUUAAAUUUCAAACGAUUUCGUGGUUUAGAUGUAAUGAAAAUAUCUUAAUCGCGUCUCGAUGCUUUUAAAUAUCGCGAAGCAACUGGAAAAUAAAUUUAAAAGUAUCGUAUGGAUAACGUAAGAAUAUUACGAAAUUAAGUUUCAUAGAAUAUCUUAAUAUCUAUCUACAAAGUUACAUCGUAAUACUGACAGUCGGUGACCCGUAACACAUUUGGAAGUUUUCCAAAAGAUCAUCAUAGAAGUACGUGAUGUUAAUAAUUAGUGCUUCUGUUGCAGUCAAAAAUAUUAUACACCGUAUACAACACAGAUUUUUCUCCUGUUCAUUUUUUGACUUUACUUUCUCGAUGAAUUCUCUCUCUCUAUUUUGGUUCGACUACUGCGAAAUUUUUGAAAAAUAAACAAAAAGUUCAAACGCAAUCAUAGCUACACCAUAGGAAAAGUAUCGCUUGAAUUUUCUUUGCACUCUUUCUUGUCAUUAACGUUGAAAAUGAAUUUAAGACUUACAUAAGAAUUAUUUGACUGUAACCUUCGUGACAUAAGCUUACGUAUACGAUGCCCGGCAUAUUUUGCAUUCAAUACACCGAUCAAAAGCAUUAAAGACGUAAAUAAGUUUCACUGAUACGUAUUCCAACUAUCUAUAUCAACGGAUACUGUACUACUUGUAAUUUAUUACUCCAGAUCUUAUCCGGUAUCGAUAACUCCUAGUCAAUAAACCACGUACGCAACACGUA